UACAGAGGUCCCAAGCGUUGUUCGGAUUUACUGGGCGUAAAGGGCGCGUAGGCGGCGACUCAAGUUAGAUGUGAAAGUCCUGGGCUUAACCUGGGGACUGCAUUUGAUACUGGGUUGCUUGAAUUCGGGAGAGGAUAGCGGAAUUCCCAGUGUAGAGGUGAAAUUCGUAGAUAUUGGGAAGAACACCGGUGGCGAAGGCGGCUAUCUGGACCGACAUUGACGCUGAGGCGCGAAAGCGUGGGGAGCAAACAGG
rnacentral:rRNA from 1 species